GAGGAAUGUUUACUAUUCUCCUGGUCUGUGAGCAACCAGAAACAUUCUUUUCCUUCCUGGAUCUGUGACUAGGGUCCCAGGUCUGCUGUGGCAACAAGUAUUGUUAUGUUAGUGAUCCUCCUCGCCCUGGGAUUGUGACCCAGGAGUGGGACUCAUAUAUGUACACUGUACCCAGUGCCAGCAAAGGGACCACUAUAACCACCCUUUGACUAGUUGUCUGAUCCCCUUAGUAUCUGUGGACUCAGGAAGUCAUUGCUGCUGAUUCAAGUUUCCCCCCAGAUCUUGCUGUUGUGGGAUUACCUCUAGUGCACUGUGUCUUUCCCUGGAGAGGUGGUUCUGGUGACUUCCUGUGAGCAGACCUGGGCACCAGUUCGAUCCUGGAACUUGAGCCUGGAGGAGCUCCCUCAGACAGCUUCCUUAAGACGGUCACAUGACCGGACACAAUUGAAAAAGACCUUUCGACAACAAAAUUUGAAAGAACAAUUUGGAUGAAACAACAAACUAGAAUCUUAUUACAAUGCCACAUUCUGGGAACUAAAGAUCCCAUUGCAAGGCUUUUACUGCAAAGUUAAAGAAAAAACAAAAGAUCCAACAUAUACCAGGAUGUUCAGUGACACUGUUUCUGGUUAGAGACAAACUGGGAGCAAAAUAAACAUCAAUCAGAAAAUGACUAAAUAAAUUAUGGUACGUGAA